UCGGGUUGUAAACUGCUUUUGUACGGAACGAAAAGGACCUUUCUAAUACAGAGGGCUCAUGACGGUACCGUAAGAAUAAGCACCGGCUAACUACGUGCCAGCAGCCGCGGUAAUACGUAGGGUGCAAGCGUUAAUCGGAAUUACUGGGCGUAAAGCGUGCGCAGGCGGUGAUGUAAGACAGGUGUGAAAUCCCCGGGCUUAACCUGGGAACUGCAUUUGUGACUGCAUCGCUGGAGUGCGGCAGAGGGGGAUGGAAUUCCGCGUGUAGCAGUGAAAUGCGUAGAUAUGCGGAGGAACACCGAUGGCGAAGGCAAUCCCCUGGGCCUGCACUGACGCUCAUGCACGAAAGCGUGGGGAGCAAACAGGAUUAGAUACCCUGGUAGUCCACGCCCUAAACGAUGUCAACUGGUUGUUGGGUCUUCACUGACUCAGUAACGAAGCUAACGCGUGAAGUUGACCGCCUGGGGAGUACGGCCGCAAGGUUG
rnacentral:rRNA from 1 species